rnacentral:tRNA from 1 species
CGGGGCCUAGGGUGAAGUGGCUCCUCCUGACAGGAGUGUGGGGAAGCGCAAAGCUGCUCACAUCAUGGCAGCUAGGAAGCAGACAGAAAGGAGCAGGAAGGGGCGGAGCUCAGGUCCCUUCAAGGCCAUACCCCAAUGACCUAACUCCCUUUCACUAGGCCCUGCCCUUAAAGGUCUCACCACUUCUCAAUUGCACUGCAGGCUGGGGACUGAGCCUUCAACACUUGGGCUUUGGGGGAUAUUUAACAUCCAAACUACAGCAAUAUGCAAAGUUAAUGUUUAGUUACCAUUUUACUCUCUAGUUUCUUGUCUUGAUUAAAGCCACCUUACUGUUCCCAGUGUUUGUUUUUAAGGACCUCAAAACUUUUGGGGAUGUUUAAAGAAUCAUCACAUAAUGUAAGACUUAAUAAAAUAGAGAAGUUAAAGAGUUUUUCCACUAUAGCAAUGCCCUGAUCUACUUUAGCUGUGACACCAAGCAAAGUGCCAGCACAAAUCACAGCAUCAGAAACACUCUCUGUACAGCUCUAAAUAAAACAGUGCUGGGCUGGAGCAAAAUAAUCCUUUUCCGCUUUAUUAGCCUUCCUUCCAAAUUAAUAAACCCUUGGACCAAUCCUUCUAGGGGGGUCUUUCCCUAAAAGAUCAGUGGGUGGCCAAAUGGGUUGUGGAGUUUCUUGAACCUCAUGAAACAACCACAAAGAGCACGUUCAUUCUGAAACAAAACAUGGAAGAAAGCAAUGGGAUCUCCUGAGCUCUGACCCUCAGGCCCUUCUGCAGCACAGGGGCUCAUUCCCGCUGUCCAGCUCAGAACGGUGGACUUUAAUGUGGGCCCAGAGGGGGUCAGUAGCAGUGAAGGGUAUCACAGCCCCAGGCCAGCGAAGAUGGUCCUGCUCACUUCAGUUUCACAGCCAACUGUCCCACCCAGGUGCGAUGCCUGGCCUCCAGGGCCCAGCCUGGCCGGGGGAGGCGAGCGCUGAGUGGGUGCUAUCAAACCAAGUCCACCAUCCAGAGGUGACCAGCACCUGGGAGUUCCUGUCCGAAAUGUUAGUGGAUGGAGGGUCCCGUGGGGCUUCUUUCCAGGUUCUUGGUGACCUGAACAAGACACUCAGAAAAGGCAGCAAGAGUGUACAUUUAUUGAAGGCAGAAAAAUACACUCACAGCAGCCUUCGGGAGGGGGAAAGGUCUUUUGCAUCUGGAAUUCCUGCAUUAUCUCUCUCUCUUCAUGUAAAGAAGGCAUUAGAAUAGUCGUCCUAUCAAACACUCCCUGGGAAUGAACUGUCCUAUCCCAAAAUGCCUCUGGUUUUUGCCUUAUGUAAAUGAAGGAUCAGGAGCAGAGUCUUGAUUGGCUGUGCCCACAUGCAAAUGAAGGAUUGCGAAGAGCAUCUUCUGACUGGUCCUGUGAACAGCAGCAGAUUCAAAUGAGGGAUUGAAAAUAGCAAGAUUCUGAUUGGUCCAAAACAGCAUCUGAUUGGCUCUGUGCACUGGGUGAUAGUGUCAUUCACUGUACUGGGAAUGCCCCUCCCCCUGGACGUGUCCCUGCCCUACUGCCCUGUCCUAACCUUUAUCCACUCAGCUCUGCGGGCCCAGUGUGCCUGGCCACCAGGCUGUGGUCAUCUCGCCUGGUGACCACACUUCUAGGCUGGUGUGGGUUUUUAUCCUUUUCCCAUUAUUCUUAGGAUUAAGCAAAGGAGACAGAGGACAGAAAGGUUAUUUUCCUCAGAAGUGAGGCACAAAGGGUCAGAAUGCAUCCAGGUUUUCUGCCUUAGGACGGAAGGUGGCCAGGAAUGUCCCGCAGGCUUGGGACAUCCGGUGCCUCGGGAGCGGUUUGUUCAGAUCCUCGGUUUUCUGACACCAUCUGUCCACGGCCUCCUUGUCUACCCCACUCCUUCCAGGGCAGGCAUGGCUGGGAUCAGUAAUAUUUGCUGAAAGCAGAGGAUUUAUUGCUCUUUUGACCUAAUCCACCUGCAAUACAUAGGUCAUAUAACCCAUUUAGUGGUCUAUAAAUAAUGUUUAAUGCAACUUCCUUAAAAAAAAAUUUGACAAAUGAACUCAUAAAACCAUAACCUGAAGUGACGGCCCUUUCUCCUGUCAGCCCCAUGUUUCCUGCCCACCUGGGGUUGCUGGGUUUGAAACAGUGUCCCACAUACUCCCACCCACCAAAUUUACAAGAAAAACGUCACUUCCCAGGUAAAGGCACAACGCCGUGAAUUAUACACUUACAAAAACGUCUUAGAAAUGCAUGUUCCUUGGGAUUAUUGUUAGGGUAUUAAACAAAAGAAAGUCCCAAACUGGGUGUGGUGGCACACACCCACAAUCCCAGCCUUCUGGGAGGCUGAGGCAGGAGGAUCACAAAUUCAAGGCUAGCCUGAGUAAUGCAGAGACUUGGAAAGACCCUGUCUCACAAUAAAAAAGGGGGUGGAGAGGGGGGAUGUAGCUCAGUGCCUAGGCCCUGGGUCCAAUCCCCCAUCCUGCACACAACAAACACCACCAAACCCGCAGACCGUGCUCUGCACCCACGGCCCAGGGCUAUGUGGAUCUGGGGGUGGUUGGUGGUUCCAGAGGUGAGGGCGGGGUCUGCCCCACCGCACCUGACCCUUCCCUGGGACACUCUGCGCCCGGCCCUGCCUGCUAUCUGCACAAAGGCCUCCCGGGCGUCCUGGGCCGGGCCUGCGCACUGUCCCUGCCCACAGCACAGCUGAGGCUGCUCUCCCUGUGCUCUCAGGCGAAGGCCACCAUGCCACGGGGUAAAAGCCAGACACACGCCCAGGCCGCGUGGCCCCAGCUGCCUCGAAGACUCAGACGGGGUCCUUGAGCUUCCCGCUGCCCGGGCCCUGUGCCCGGCUCGGCUCCCACCCUAUAUGGGCUCUGUCCACACCCAACUGCAGCUCUCAGCUCAGUGCCAGGGACCCUGCCGCUUCCUCCCCCAGCCCAAGGACACUCAAGACCCCAGGACAGGGCCCCGACUGCCUGGCCACCUUACUUGAAGGUUUUUAUUGAUCGGUGGGCUGAUUGCGGUUUUCCAAGGUAGGAGCUUGCUGCGGAGUCCGUGCCCGCGAGCCACUGUCAGAGGCAGCUGGAGCCAGGGUUCAGGGUGGCUGCUCCGCAGCUCCCUGUUGGCAUGGGCCGUGCAUGAUUCGUGGGUUCUGUUUUCAAAGUGCAAUGAGAAAUCCGAGAGAGUCUAACAGGCCUGCUAGUAUGAGCGCCUAACGGGCGCCAUCCUUCCACUGUUCUCUCAGAGCCAUGGCUGCCCUUCCUCAGGCAUGGGAUGUUCAAGAGCGCAGGAAGAGCGCCCCCCAGCAGCUGGCAACGGGACACCGCCAGGCCUGGUGGGCCUGCAGCCAGCGCGGGUUGCGACACAUUAGGGGUGGCCGCUGUGUACAGGCCCUGAGUUGUCCUCCCAGCCAGCAAAAGCCGACCAAAUCCCUGCCAUGCAGACCUUUGUGGGGUUUGCUGAACGCAGUGAGCACCUUCCGUGCGUUGCAGGGUUUGACACUGCGGUGUGACAACGGCCUUACCAGUUUGCGGCCACAACCAUUCGAUGGCGUGUUGGGGCCCGCUGUGCACCCUCACGGUACUGGGUUCUAAGAGACACAAGAGUUCAGGGGUUGUGAGCGUCCGGCUCCCUGGAGUGUGGACCUGUCCGGACUCCACGGGUUCUGUCCAGUGCCUGGCAAAUGGAGUGCAUAACAAAGACUUCUUUAAUAAGGUCUUCAGCAGCCAGGCUGGCUGGGAUGUGGCUCAGUGGAGAGAGCUUGCCUAGUAUGCAGCAGGCUCUGGGUUCGAAUCCCAGCACUGCAGGGGCCAAGAGCAAAGGAAGGAAGGAAACAGAAGCUGCUGGACACAAGUUCAAGGGUCGGGGCCACCCUGAGCCCGUGCCAGAAGCAGCGGCACUUUUACUCCUUCUUUGGUUAGGAAGCAGGCUCGCUUGCCCACUUCCUUCCUGGGACACGGGGUCUCCUUGGGGCUUCACUUGUGCAGAGCUCGGUGGGAGACCCAGCACAAGGCUCACCACUGGGUUCCGAGUUAAGACCCUGGUGGCCAUGGAUUUCUGUGGUUUCUUAGACCAAGCCUAUGUUCUGGGGCCCCGGGGUCUGGGUGCAAAGCCAAACAUAGAGAAGAAAAUCACUCGCUCCUUCCCCGGAUCCCCGCCUGUGGCUGUGGCGAGGGCCCUGGAGCCAGCAGAGGCCAUGUCGGUGACACCCGGCCGGGAGCCCUCUCAGGGACCAUGCAGGGCCCAGGAGGAACUGGGCGUGGUGCUGCAUGGGGAAGUCCCCACCAGCGAGGGCACGUAGGCCUCAGGCAGCCCCCUCUGCACACAGACUGCUGCCUGCAUGGGUUGUUUCUGCAUCCAAAGCAACCACAGCGCUGAUUGGAUUGCUCUCCAGACUUGAGGACUGGAUCGACCAGAAGAAUCCAAAAGUUCCUUUGGUAAGAAUAGUAUCCAUUCAGGGCUGGGGAUUUAGCUCCGUGGUUCUGCCGCCUGUCUCGCAAGUGCAAGGUCCCAAGUUCAAUCCCCAGUACCAAAAAAAAAAAAAGAAUAGUAUCCAUUCAUUUAACUCAGAACUAGCCAGAUGUGCCCAUAAUUCCAGCUCUCAGGAGGCUGAAGCAGAAGGAUGGCAGCAAGACUGAGGCCAGUCUGGAUAACUUAGCAAGAGCCUGUCUCGAAAACAAGAAGCAAGCAAGCCUCAGCUCCAAAGGGGCAGGCAGUCAGGUUCCUGUCCCAGAAGGGCUCCCAGGCAGAGGGGCAGGGGCAGGCGUGGGGCCGUGCUGAUGCCCAGGUGUUAAACACGGGGCAGAAUUCAGAUAAACCCUCUCCAGCAAAGAGAGAAGGGCAAGCCUGUGCUCCACACACACGGGCCCCAUCUGGGGCACUGGAAGUGGAGCACAAGGACAGAAUAUUCCCGCCACGCCCUCGAAACUAGUGGGCGCGCGAGGAGGAGCCCCAGGCUCACAGGAGACUGUUCGGAAGUUCUCUCGCCUCCUCACCGCAGACUCCACCCUUCCUUCUUGUCCUUUGUUCUGGAGACAGGGUCUCCUUAUGUAACCCCCGCCCGGCCGUGACUUCACAGAGACCCCUUGCUCCAUGCACCUCCCUGCCUUGCCUGCCUUCUACUUUUGCUCCUUAACGACGCCCCUGGAGCUGCCCAACGAGACCUUGGGACCAGCCUCGUUGUAACUGCUGCGCUCCCCUGACCGGCCCCUGCUGGGCCUGGGCUUGCGGUGACUCCUCCGACCCGCAGCCGGCUCUGUGCACCCCGGGCUGAGCCUGUGCUUCCUCCCAGACACCUCCGCUGGGACCCCCGGCAUCUGUGCUGCAAGCUGCCGCUGCACGCCCCGCAGCCAGCUCCCCAGCCCAGCCCUGUGAACGCCCGCGGCGACGCUGGCUCCUGUCCGGGAAGCCCACCAGGCUGCUGCCGCCCGGGGCUGGGGGAGUAGGGUCCCCGUCCUCCUGCGAGGCGCCCGGCUCCUCACUGUCGCAUGCCGUCUCCCCGAACUCUGUCCCGGAAAUCUAGGGGCCGCUACUGCUGACCGGCGCUAGGACAGCGGCAGGAACGAGGACCCCGGGCUUGGGCCAUGGGAGGUGCCCCGGGAGCCCCAAGCCCCCGGCCCCGCUCUGAGGUCACACAGGGUGCUGCUGGGCUGGGAGAGGAGGACGUGGCCCACCCUCGAGGACCCCGGCUGUCCCCAGGAAUGAGUUGGUCCCCAAGCCACCUGGGGCUGCAGUCGGGGGAGGGGGACAGGUCAUCUGCCGCCACCUCCUUGCUGUCCACGGGAAAACGGGGUCUCCCAACUCCAGCCCUGGAAGGAGAGAGCUGGAAACCACUCCUGCCUGCAGCCCCAGGAGGAGGGACAACUCCUGUUGGUGAUGUUUGGAAGAAGAGACAGAACUCAUCUUGUUUUGUUUUGUUUUUGGCUUUUUGACACACGGUCUCACUAUGCAGUUCAGGCUGGUCUUGAACUCACUAUGUAGCCCAGGCUGGCCUCAAACUCAUGGAGAUCCUCCUGCCUCAGCCUCCACAGUGCUGGGGACUAUAGGCAUGGGCCACCACACCCAGUUUGCUCUUAAUUUUAGAGUUUGUUUUCAGGAUGCUAUGAGUUGAAUUAUGUCCCCCUAAAAAGGAACCCUGAAGUCCUAAACCCUCAAAAUGUGGCAAGAUGUGGACACAGAGGCAUCCAAAAUAAUAUCCGGUUAUGUGGCCCCUAAGUCCAUCUGACCAAGUCCUCAGGUGAGGGCAGCCACUGCGGAGGCCAGGUGGAUCCCAGGUGACCAUGGGGACAGAGAUGACGGGGGAAGCUGCCAGGCUGAGAGCUGGAAAAGGGACACACGAGGCCACCUGCCUCUGCCCAGGCGGCGGUCAACUGGCUUCCCCAGCCAGGGCCAGGGGAAUCAGGCGGGCAGAAAGCGAGCGUCCUCAGGCAGGCCUUUGCCUCCUCCAAACAGCACCCACUCGCUGCACGACUGUUCCCGAGGGCUGAGGUCCUAGCACCCCAAAUCGGCUAAAGCAUGUGCUUGCCACAGCCAAGCGCACUCACCUGAGGGCAGCCUGUGAGACUGCGAACAGGCUGGCGCACCUGCAAUCCCAGCUGCUCAGAGGCUGAGGCAGGCGGAUCCCAGGUCCGGGGUCAGCCGGGGGAAUUACUCUCCUUGGUCCUGACCCCGCCCGCCCAGGGUGCCAGGCGUC